rnacentral:sRNA from 1 species
GCAUUCUAGAGGUUGGCCGGGUGGCAA